AUUGAACGCUGGCGGAAUGCUUUACACAUGCAAGUCGAACGGUAGAGGGGCAACCCUUGAGAGUGGCGAACGGGUGAGUAAUGUAUCGGAACAUGCCCAGUCGUGGGGGAUAACGUAGCGAAAGUUACGCUAAUACCGCAUACGAUCUAUGGAUGAAAGCGGGGGAUUGCAAGACCUCGCGCGAUUGGAGUGGCCGAUAUCAGAUUAGGUAGUUGGUGGGGUAAAGGCCUACCAAGCCGACGAUCUGUAGCUGGUCUGAGAGGACGACCAGCCACACUGGGACUGAGACACGGCCCAGACUCCUACGGGAGGCAGCAGUGGGGAAUUUUGGACAAUGGGCGAAAGCCUGAUCCAGCCAUUCCGCGUGCAGGAAGAAGGCCUUCGGGUUGUAAACUGCUUUUGUACGGAACGAAACGCGCUGUGCUAAUACCACGGCGUAAUGACGGUACCGUAAGAAUAAGCACCGGCUAACUACGUGCCAGCAGCCGCUGUAAUAC
rnacentral:rRNA from 1 species